rnacentral:rRNA from 1 species
GAGUUUGAUCGUGGCUCAGGACGAACGCUGGCGGCGUGCCUAACACAUGCAAGUCGAGCGAGUGGAUUUCCUUCGGGAUUGAAGCUAGCGGCGGACGGGUGAGUAACACGUGGGCAACCUACCUCAUAGAGGGGAAUAGCCUCCCGAAAGGGAGAUUAAUACCGCAUAAGAUUGUAGCUUCGCAUGAAGUAGCAAUUAAAGGAGCAAUCCGCUAUGAGAUGGGCCCGCGGCGCAUUAGCUAGUUGGUGAGGUAACGGCUCACCAAGGCGACGAUGCGUAGCCGACCUGAGAGGGCGAUCGGCCACAUUGGGACUGAGACACGGCCCAGACUCCUACGGGAAGCAGCAGUGGGAAUAUUGCACAAUGGGGGAAACCCUGAUGCAGCGACGCCGCGUGAAGGAUGAAGUAUUUCGGUAUGUAAACUUCUAUCAGCAGGGAAGAAAAUGACGUACCUGACUAAGAAGCCCCGG